AGAGUUUGAUCAUGGCUCAGAAUCAACGCUGGCGGCGUGCCUAAUACAUGCAAGUCGAACGCGAAAGUUCCGCAAGGGAUGAGUAGAGUGGCAAACGGGUGAGUAACGCGUGGGUGACCUGCCUUCGAGUGGGGGAUAACGUUCCGAAAGGGACGCUAAUACCGCAUGACAUCCUGCCUUUCAAGAGGUGGAGAUCAAAGCUGGGGAUCGCAAGACCUAGCGCUUGAAGAGGGGCCCGCGUCCGAUUAGCUAGUUGGUGGGGUAACGGCUCACCAAGGCGACGAUCGGUAGCCGGUCUGAGAGGGCGGACGGCCACACUGGGACUGAGACACGGCCCAGACUCCUACGGGAGGCAGCAGUAGGGAAUUGUUCGCAAUGGGCGCAAGCCUGACGACGCAACGCCGCGUGGAGGAUGAAGAUCUUCGGGUCGUAAACUCCUUUCGAUUGGGACGAAUUCCUCGAGGGUGAACAAUUCUUGGGGUUGACGGUACCGAGAGAAGAAGCCCCGGCUAACUCCGUGCCAGCAGCCGCGGUAAUACGGGGGGGGCAAGCGUUGUUCGGAAUUACUGGGCGUAAAGGGCUCGUAGGCGGCCAACUAAGUCAGACGUGAAAUCCCUCGGCUUAACCGGGGAACUGCGUCUGAUACUGGAUGGCUUGAGUUCGGGAGAGGGAUGCGGAAUUCCAGGUGUAGCGGUGAAAUGCGUAGAUAUCUGGAGGAACACCGGUGGCGAAGGCGGCAUCCUGGACCGAUACUGACGCUGAGGAGCGAAAGCCAGGGGAGCAAACGGGAUUAGAUACCCCCGUAGUCC
rnacentral:rRNA from 1 species